rnacentral:rRNA from 1 species
GGCAGGCCUAAUACAUGCAAGUCGAACGAGAUUAAGAGGCUUGCUUCUUAUGAAAGUGGCGCACGGGUGCGUAACGCGUAUGCAACCUACCUUAAUCAGGGGGAUAGCCCGAAGAAAUUCGGAUUAAGACCGCAUAAAAACACAGGAUAGCAUUAUCCAAUGUUCAAAUAUUUAUAGGAUUAAGAUGGGCAUGCGUGUCAUUAGCUAGUUGGCGGGGUAACGGCCCACCAAGGCGACGAUGACUAGGGGAUCUGAGAGGAUGACCCCCCACACUGGUACUGAGACACGGACCAGACUCCCACGGGAGGCAGCAGUAAGGAAUAUUGGUCAAUGGAGGGAACUCUGAACCAGCCAUGCCGCGUGCAGGAAGACAGCCCUCUGGGUCGUAAACUGCUUUUAUUCGGGAAUAAACCUUUCUACGUGUAGGAAGCUGAAUGUACCGAAGGAAUAAGGAUCGGCUAACUCCGUGCCAGCAGCCGCGGUAAUACGGAGGAUCCAAGCGUUAUCCGGAUUUAUUGGGUUUAAAGGGUGCGUAGGCGGCUUAUUAAGUCAGGGGUGAAAGACGGUGGCUCAACCAUCGCAGUGCCCUUGAUACUGAUGAGCUUGAAUACACUAGAGGUAGGCGGAAUGUGACAAGUAGCGGCGAAAUGCAUAGAUAUGUCACAGAACACCGAUUGCGAAGGCAGCUUACUAUGGUGUUAUUGACGCUGAGGCACGAAAGCGUGGGGAUCAAACAGGAUUAGAUACCCUGGUAGUCCACGCCCUAAACGAUGAAUACUCGCUGUUAGCGAUAUACAGUUAGCGGCUAAGCGAAAGCGUUAAGUAUUCCACCUGGGGAGUACGCCCGCAAGGGUGAAACUCAAAGGAAUUGACGGGGGCCCGCACAAGCGGAGGAGCAUGUGGUUUAAUUCGAUGAUACGCGAGGAACCUUACCCGGGCUUGAAAGUUAGUGAAUGAUCUAGAGAUAGAUCAGUGAGCAAUCACACGAAACUAGGUGCUGCAUGGCUGUCGUCAGCUCGUGCCGUGAGGCGUUGGGUUAAGUCCCGCAACGAGCGCAACCCCUAUGUUUAGUUGCCAGCACGUUAAGGUGGGGACUCUAAACAGACUGCCUGUGCAAACAGAGAGGAAGGAGGGGACGACGUCAAGUCAUCAUGGCCCUUACGUCCGGGGCUACACACGUGCUACAAUGGAUGGUACAGAGGGCAGCAAGCUGGCAACAGCAAGCGAAUCUCAAAAAGCCAUUCACAGUUCGGAUAGAGGUCUGCAACUCGACCUCUUGAAGUUGGAUUCGCUAGUAAUCGCGUAUCAGCAAUGACGCGGUGAAUACGUU